rnacentral:rRNA from 1 species
AGAAACCAACAGGGAUUGCCUCAGUAACGGCGAGUGAAGCGGCAAAAGCUCAAAUUUGAAAUCUGGCUCUUUCAGGGUCCGAGUUGUAAUUUGUAGAAGAUGCUUUGGGUGUGGCUCUGGUUUAAGUUCUUUGGAAUAUUACAUCAUAGAGGGUGAGAAUCCCGUAUGUGACCAGUCGCCGCGCCCGUGUAAAGCUCUUUCAACGAGUCGAGUUGUUUGGGAAUGCAGCUCAAAAUGGGAGGUAUAUUUCUUCUAAAGCUAAAUAUUGGCCAGAGACCGAUAGCGCACAAGUAGAGUGAUCGAAAGAUGAAAAGCACUUUGGAAAGAGAGUUAAACAGUACGUGAAAUUGUUGAAAGGGAAGCGCUUGCAACCAGACUUGCACGCAGUUGAUCAUCCGGUGUUCUCACCGGGGCACUCUGCUGCGUUCAGGCCAGCAUCGGUUUUGGUGGUUGGAUAAAGGCCUUGGGAAUGUAGCUUCUUUCGGGGAGUGUUAUAGCCCUUGGUGCAAUGCAGCCUACCGGGACCGAGGACCGCGCUUCGGCUAGGAUGC